CAUAUUCAUCUUCCACAGAGCAGAAUCUCUUCAAUUACAGUGAAUUUAUUGAAUGAUAUUAUCCUCCUCUUGAUAAGAUUUAGUGAAGAAUCACAAAAAAUUAGAGGUAAAAGCAAAAGGGCAGGAAUUUCAUUGUAUCGUCAGAUAUGGAGCAACAACAGCAAGUUUGAGCAAGGAUCAGACAUUAAUGAGAAUUUCCAAGUUCUGAUUUGAUGUUUAGCUAGGAAAAGGAGAAUAGGUUAUUCAUUUCAAACAUCAAAUAGUGCAGAUUGAGAGACAACUCCAACAAUAGAACAAAUGGAUGCUCAAAAUCAGACCUACAAGCAGUCAAUCAGACCCAAGACGACAAGUAUAUAAUUUAACCAAUCCAAGUUAUGGUUUGCAAAGGAAGCCAAAAUGACUGAUCAUACCAUGAGGUGCAGAGAUGGCUCAGAAAACCAAUCACAUCAAAAGUUACAAUGGUCUCUCUAAAACCUUGGCUAGGCUUUGAUCUACAAACAAAGUUGAAAAACCAUCUCCAAAAAACAAAGUUAGAUCAAGUGUUGCAAAGGGGUGUGUUCAAAAACUGAUCAAGUUGAGAAGUGCAAAGGAGGUUAUUCUGAUCACUAAAUACAAACAAGAGCAAUCUGACUGAAUUUCAUUAGAUUCAGGUCCCUGGCAUUAAGAUCCAAGCGAAAUUCCUCUUUGUGCAUUCUCAAGGGUCAGGUGAAUAUUCUCAUUCAAAUGGUUUAAAUGCUUAAGAUAGGAUUCAAUGAAGCAAAGGCAAGUGAAAAGAUUGAGCAAUUCCAUUAAGGUACAACAUCAGUUAAUGAAGACUGAGGUUCAGUUCUAGUCUUGCAGAGUAUCCUGUUUAUUUUGCAUUUGAAGAGGAGAAGCUGAAUGCCAUUUUAGCCGAUAUCAAACAGAAUGAUGCUAUUGGACAGGUUGCAACUGCAACAACUGGAGGGGAUGGUUGCCAGGACUUCGAGGAGAUGGAGACUCAACUCAACUUCCAACUAUUGCUAUUGUGGCGUCAUACGAUACAUUUGGUGCAGCACCAGCUUUGUCUGUGGGCACUGACAGCAAUGGCAGUGGAACAGUAGCUAUAUUAGAACUGGCCAGAUUGUUUUCUCGUCUCUAUUCAAAUCCAAAAACAAGAGGAAGAUAUAAUUUGUUGUUCGGAUUGACCUCUGGUGGACCUUAUAAUUACAAUGGGACAUUCAAGUGGCUGGGGAGUUUUGAUCAACGACUUAAGGAAAGCAUUGAUUAUGCUAUUUGCUUCAACAGUGUUGGAUCAUGGAAUAAUGAACUCUGGCUUCAUGUUUCCAAGCCUCCUGAAAAUGUUUACAUAAAACAAAUUUUUGAUGGUAUUUCUGAUGUUGCAGAGGAGUUAGGAAUUACUGUAGGUGUUAAGCACAAAAAAAUAAAUAUUUGAAAUCCACGUGUAAGUUUGUUCAUUUUCCAUAUCUAGUUUUAGUCUGGACAAUAAAUGCCAUUUUAUAUAGCAAUCCUCACCCUUGUGUUUUCUC